GCUAAACAGCUAGCUUAAAUACUAAAUAACCAAACCAACAUUAAAAACCUUCACAAAACCACAACAACCAAAACUAAAACAUUCUACCGCCCAAGUACGUGAGACAGAAAAGGCACAAUAAGCUAUAGAAACAGUACCGUAAGGGAACGCUGAAAGAGAAAUGAAACAAAUCAUAAAAGCAUAAGAAAGCAGAGACCAACCCUCGUACCUUUUGCAUCAUGAUUUAGCCAGUACCCCCUAAGCAAAGAGUACUUUAGUUUAGAACCCCGAAACUAAGUGAGCUACCCCGAGACAGCCUAUUAAAAUAGGGCAAACCCAUCUCUGUGGCAAAAGAGUGGGACGAUCUCCGGGUAGAGGUGACAGACCUACCGAACUUAGUGAUAGCUGGUUGCCUAAGAAAUGAAUAGAAGUUCAGCCUCACCCUCCCCAACCCAAAAUAUAUUAUUAAUUAACGAGCCUGGGAAAUAAGUGAGAGUUAGUCAAAGGGGGUACAGCCCCUUUAAAAAAGGAUACAACCUUAUCAGGAGGUUAAAGAUUAUAUUAAUUUAAGAUAACCCGCUCUGGUGGGCCUAAAAGCAGCCAUCCAAACAGAAAGCGUUAAAGCUCCGGCGGAACACGAAUCUAUUAUCCAAAUACUUUAUCUAAAACCCCUAACUUUAUUAGGCCAUUCCAUGCCCACAUGGAAGAGACACUGCUAAAAUGAGUAAUAAGAAGGUAUCCCCUUCUCCUUAGCCUAAGUGUAUACUAGAUCGGACUACCCACUAGCAAUUACCGAACCCAAUCAAAGAGGGUAAUGUGAACAUAUUAAAUACCAAGAAAACCUCACAUAAACAAAUCGUUAAACCCACACUGGAAGGCUACCAGGAAAGACUAAAAGAAAAGGAAGGAACUCGGCAAACACAAGCCUCGCCUGUUUACCAAAAACAUCGCCUCCUGUAAUAAAACACAUAGGAGGUCUUACCUGCCCAGUGACAAGUUAAACGGCCGCGGUAUUUUGACCGUGCGAAGGUAGCGCAAUCACUUGUCUUUUAAAUGAAGACCUGUAUGAAUGGUAGAACGAGGGCUUAACUGUCUCCCAUUUCAAGUCAAUGAAAUUGAUCUGCCCGUGCAGAAGCGGACAUAAACAUACAAGACGAGAAGACCCUUUGGAGCUUAAGAUACAAAAUCAACUAUGUCAAGAACAAACAAGUUAAACUAAAUAGUAACUGAUUUUAAUCUUCGGUUGGGGCGACCACGGGAGAAAACAAAGCUCCCAUGAGGACUGGGGUAAACCCCUAAAACUAAGAAAGACAUUUCUAAGCCACAGAACAUCUGACCAUAAAGAUCCGGACCUACCGAUCAACGAACCAAGUUACCCUAGGGAUAACAGCGCAAUCCCCUUCCAGAGUCCAUAUCGACAAGGGGGUUUACGACCUCGAUGUUGGAUCAGGACAUCCUAAUGGUGCAGCCGCUAUUAAGGGUUCGUUUGUUCAACGAUUAAAGUCCUACGUGAUCUGAGUUCAGACCGGAGCAAUCCAGGUCAGUUUCUAUCUGUAAAUGCCAAUUUUCCUAGUACGAAAGGACCGGAAAAGGGGGGCCCAUAUUAAAUAUACGCCCCACCCCUAUUUAAUGAAGCCAACUAAAUUAAAUAAAGGGAGAGCAUAAAAACACAUCAAGAUAAGAUU
rnacentral:rRNA from 1 species